rnacentral:misc_RNA from 1 species
GGAAAACCACAUUCCGUCAACCUCUUAGCCAACUCUUGAGCCGCCAAACCAGUCUCAGCUGCAUCCGCUUUCAACUUAACCGCAGCUGUCUCGGUCAACAUAUUGACCACAGCCGAGUCAACUCUGUCGUCCGCUGACAAGAUCGCCUUGACACGUGAGACACACGCGCCGCACAUCAUCCCGCUCACAUCUAGCAGCGCCGUCGUCUCAUCA